UACGGGGGGGGGCAAGCGUUGUUCGGAAUUACUGGGCGUAAAGGGCGCGUAGGCGGCUCGCUAAGUCGGAUGUGAAAGUCCAGGGCUCAACCCUCGAAUGCCGGUGGAUACUGUCGGGCUAGAGUGCGGAAGAGGCGAGUGGAAUUCCUGGUGUAGCGGUGAAAUGCGCAGAUAUCAGGAGGAACACCUAUUGCGAAGGCAGCUCGCUGGGACGUUACUGACGCUGAGACGCGAAAGCGUGGGGAGCAAACAGG
rnacentral:rRNA from 1 species